rnacentral:rRNA from 1 species
UACGGAGGGAGCUAGCGUUGUUCGGAAUUACUGGGCGUAAAGCGCGCGUAGGCGGCUUUGUAAGUUAGAGGUGAAAUCCCGGAGCUCAACUCCGGAACUGCCCUUGAAACUGCCAUGCUAGAAUCCUGGAGAGGCGAGUGGAAUUCCGAGUGUAGAGGUGAAAUUCGUAGAUAUUCGGAAGAACACCAGUGGCGAAGGCGACUCGCUGGACAGGUAUUGACGCUGAGGUGCGAAAGCUAGGGGAGCAAACGGG